rnacentral:misc_RNA from 1 species
CCUCCCCCUAUUUUCCCAUCACUCGUUCCUCCCCAAAAAAGUACAAUACAAACUUAAAAAAAACCAAAAAAAUUUCAAGUCUAUAAGAAAACGAUGUCAGAGGUUUGAGAUUUUUACUUAGUGAGAUUCACUCACGCACCAGAUUUUCAACACCCCCGAUGAUUUCAGUGCACACAUAACGGCCAAACGCAUCCAGAAAAUCAAUGGACUCGAGACCAAAAAAUAUCGAGCUCACUGGAUGUUCUGUUCAAGCCGGCAGCGAACUCGGCUCGAUAAAAUGCUAUCCGUCAGUACAUAGAUCCCGAUCAGUCCACGGAAAACCCUUUGGAUGGUUAACCGUCAGUACAUCGAUCCCGUCCAGUACACAUGAUCUCCAGCAUUCCAUGAAACUCGUUUCAAGGAAUAU